UGAAUUACAGAAUGGAAAGAAGGCAAAAUGUAAGCCUUUGUGGAAAGAAAAACAGUGACCAUUCCCUCGCUAUUUCCCAGGCAUUGCGUGUGUGCUUGUUCAUGUCUUCAUCUUGAAAUAGACCCUACUGUGAAAGAGGCAGGUAGAUAUGGCGAGUUCUCUGGGCUCGUUUUCUCCUAAUAUCCCAACUGUUUUUAGUCAGGUGAAUCUUGUCUUUAGGUAGAGUUUUUGCUUAAGGGCUGUUCUCCCUUUGUCUCGGGCUUUCACUGAGCCUUACCAUCUGAAUUUGACUAUACUACUAGGUAUUGAGUUGUGUGUGAGCGAGGCCCACACUAUGCUAAGCCACCUCACACAAACAAUGUUAGCAUUCAGGAGGCAAGAAAAACAAUCUUAGAGAGCCAAGUGGUUCCACACACCUGGAAUCUGAGCUCGUGGGAGACUGAGGCAGGAGAAUCAUGAAUUGUCUUUUUUUUUCUUUUCUGUUUUUGUUUUAAAGUAGCCUGGGCUAUAUUAUGACUUCCUGUGAAAGGGAGAGGAGAAUACAAAAGCAUAUAGAUGGAUAUUUGCAACUCUGUUUUAAGGGAGAUCAUUGGUCUCAAACAUUUUUUGUGGUGUAAUACAGUUACAGAGUUAGAUGAAGCCUAAUUUGUACCUCCCCCUUUCCCUAGAAAUAGUCCCACCUAGGGUGUAGCAGCACUAGUAGAAUGCCUCUCAGCAUUUGCAAGGUCCUGGGUUCAACUCCCAGUGAAGAGAAAGCUUGUGUGUGUAAUCCCUGCACCCAGGAGUCAAAGAAAGGGGGAUCACAAUGAGUUGAAGGAUAUUGGGCUACGAAAUGAGAAAUUAUCUCCAUAGAAAGAGUCUUACCCAGACAUUGACAGGCAACAUAAUUUUGUCCCAUUUGCUUUUAUUUAUAAGUGACACAUACUAUUGAUACUUUGUCAUAUCUUUGUCAAACGUGUUUAUGAGCAUCAUUAAUCUCCUGUAUUUUUCUCUCAGCCUACUUUUGGAAUACAUCUCUAAGUUCCAUUAGCCCCAGACUCCACUGAAGAAUAUGCCCAUCUCUUGUUAAGGGACAUUGAGACCUUCCCAGAUUUUCAGUAUUCUAAAGAAUUUCAGUAAAAAUUAGUUGCAGUGACAAAUUUGGAAUUUUGUUUUCUUUGUUUUAAAAAAUCACACAGAAUAAGAAUGUGUUCUCAUUUUAAUCCUAGGUGUGGAAUAUGGGCUGCUUCAGAUCGUCCACAGUAGCUAUGAUUUGCCUCGUGUGCUAGCAGGGGUGUGAUUUUGUCUUCUGUAGAUAGAUUCUGAGAGCAUGUGAAUUUGGAGUUCUGGGGACUCAUCAGAGGGUAUAUACAUGCUAGUGGUGUAGAUUGUUGGUUGUUGGUCGUGGUUUGUUAGGUAGUCAUGUGCAAAGAAGAAAC
rnacentral:lncRNA from 1 species